rnacentral:rRNA from 1 species
UACAGAGGUCUCAAGCGUUGUUCGGAUUCAUUGGGCGUAAAGGGUGCGUAGGCGGCGCGGUAAGUCGGGUGUGAAAUCUCGGGGCUUAACUCCGAAACUGCAUUCGAUACUGCCGUGCUUGAGGACUGGAGAGGAGACUGGAAUUUACGGUGUAGCGGUGAAAUGCGUAGAUAUCAGGAGGAACACCGGUGGCGAAGGCGGGAUCUCUGGGCCGAUGACUGACGCUGGAGGAGCGAAAGCCGUGGGGAGCGAACAGG